AAAUUGUAGAGCACCUAAUUAAGAUACUUAAAUAUAGUAAAUGAGUUGUUAGCUCAAGUAAAGAUGGUUAAUUUUAUUGUGGUAUUUGGUUUAGGCUUCAUUUGUGGCUAUUUUUUUGCCAGAGCAUGCGAACGAAAUUAAGUUGACAUGUCUGUUAUGAUGUCACUGUAAUAAUCCUGCCUCUAAAUAAUAUGUGUUUCGUUUUCUUUCUAAUUCGCAUUGACAUUCUCUAUUUCGUUGGCAUUCCGGUUUCAAAAAACACAAUUUCAAAAAAGUUACAAAAAGAAAAAAUCCAAAUUCUUUUCACAAAAUGCAAAGCAUAACGCAGAGAAAACUUUGCAUCUUCACCUUUGGUUUGUUUGUUGGAUAUAUUAUUUCGCCGAGGAGACGCUAAGAGGAGUACAAAAUUUUCCAUUGAACUCUAAA
rnacentral:lncRNA from 1 species